UAGAGUAUUAAGUCUAAGAGGAAAUUUUCCCCUAAGAACACUACCUUCAGGGAUUUCAGGUUUGGUUUCAUUACAUCAUCUUGAUCUAUCAUCGACUAACAUAACUGGGUUGCCGCAAGAGCUGAAGGCGUUGGAGAAGUUGAGAUAUUUGAACUUGGACUAUACACGGUUUUUGUCUAUAAUUCCACAUCAAUUGAUAUCUGGUUUUUCAAAGUUGGAGGUACUCAGGUUGCUUUCACGCGGUCGCUGGAGCGUAAUAGAAGGUAACGUUCUAUGUGAUGAUGCUGAACCUUUGAUGAAGGAAUUGCUGGGUUUGAAGCAUUUAAAUGUUUUAAGCUGGACCUUCCGAAGUUCACUUGCUGUCCAAAAGUUUUUGAAAUAUCCAAAGCUGGUGAGCAUCACUCAAUCUGUAAUGGUUUGCCAAUGUGAAAGUCCACCGUUCAAUGUCUUACAUCUAGCAUACAUGGAGAAUCUUCAGGAGUUACGCAUUUCAGACAGUAAUUUGGAAGAGAUGAAGACUGACAGCACAGAAGAGGUAAAGAAACUUUUUCAAAGUGGUUUCCGCAGUCUCGACAGAGUUGUCAUAUGGAGUUGCCAAAAAAUGAAAGACUUAACGUGGCUAGUUUUUGUUCAAAUUCUCAAGCAGCUGCGUAUAGUCUUUUGUACAGAAAUGGAAGAAAUAAUUAGUGUUGAUAAAUUGAGAGAUAUUUCGAAGAUAAUCGGGUCAGAGCAUAACUUUUUUGCACAACUCGAAUCUCUAACCAUAAAGUGGGGAAGAAAUUUAAAGAGCGUUUACCCGAAUCCCCUGCCCUUUCCAAAGCUGAAGAAAAUUGAAGUACGUGAAUGCCCACAGCUGAAGAAGCUCCCACUCAAUUCCAGCAGCGCGAAGGAACGUCGAGUUGUCAUCGAGGGGUCGAAAAAAUGGUGGGAAGAGCUACAAUGGGAGGACCAAGCCACCCAAAAUGCUUUCUCUUCCGGUGUCGUACUUGGGGAUGAUUUUCAUUAAUAUGUUUGAAUAUGUAUUUCUUUUCUUUUUCUUUUUUUUUUUAAUUUUCAUUAGAUUUAAUUGCAUCUUGUUGUUGUUGUCUGGUGUGUCAAUCGUUAUCUAUUUUCAGUUAAUAAAAUUUCAGCAGUGGAUUCUUGGUUUUAGAAUCCUCCCACUGGAAAGAAUUUCUCCUUUGGCUUGAAUGCGACCUUUUUACUCGUCGACAAAAUUGUAUUUGUCGCUUAAGUCUUGUUUGUUUUAAAAUGCUGGCAUAUUUAUAGAGUGGGAACUCAGAUGCUGAACUCAUAGUAAAUAUUUAUUUAAUUUGUUAUAAUUAUAUUUGGUGAGAUAUUUAUUCAAUAAUUGCCCUAUCACUUUGUGCAUGAUCACAGAAUUUUGUACUUCCGUCUGUGAAAUAACUUUUGGAAAAGGAAAUUAAUUUUUUUAAGUAACGGUAAAUAUUUUAAAUUUUUAUUUUAAAUUUUAUUUUAAAUAAUAUAGUAUGUAAUGUGUCAUUUAUUUAGUGAUUGAUAAUUUAAUAUAGGAUUUAAAUAAAUUAAUUAUGCUAUUUUAUUAUUUAAUUAAUAAAUAUUAUAUAAUUUAAAAUAGAUUUUUGAGAUAAAAAUUAUAAAAGUAAAAUUCUACUCAACAGACUAAAUUUAAAAUGAUGUGAUUGGCAGGUAAGACUUAAGAAUUAGACAAAAUUUCUCAUUCAACAGCUUGUAGAAAAUUUAUACACUAGGCCUUAGCUAAACUUGGACUUGUCGUAUGUUUGAAGUAUUCGACGAUAAUCAUAUCUGCAUUUUUAUUUUAUUUUUUAUUUUUGGUUUGUUUAGGGCUUUUCAUCGGUUUUCGUCUUGGUCUUUGUCCUGGUCUUGGCGUCUUGCUAUCAAAUCAAGUGUUCUCUUCUCCUAUCCUCUAAUGAAAGUGCAGGGCCUCAACUAUUUGUUACUGCUAUCACUUUAGAGGUUGAUGCUAAUGUCCGAAGGUCACGUUUAAUUUGCUUGAAUGUGACCUUUACUUUGGUUGACAAAAUUGUGAUUGUCACAAAGAACAAACUAUAAAAGUGCAGUUUAAAUCGAACACUGAAUUCCCUAUGGAAAUUUUCGCACCCGUAUAUAUAUUCUACAUUAUUUGGUUGCAAAGACUAUAAUUAACAAGAAGCUAAUAUAUAUAGUAGAGAGAGAAAUAACAAGUUCAAUGUUGGUAAAAUUUUAUCUUCCCUUCACUGCUCUCCUUUGCUGCAAUCAAGUGGCCUCACUUACAAAUUUUGACUUUUAAUUAUUUCAAUUAACACAAGAAAAAAAGGGCAAUAUAGUUUACAUUACUCUAUCAGCCUUAUAUAAAGGGUAUAAAUAUGAGAGUGCGUUUGGAAUUGAAGUCGGACACUUGUCGCUUAAAAGCUACAGUAGCAAAGUGUUUGGUAAAUACUAAUUGUUGUGUCUUGAAAGAUAUGUUGAUAUGAUUUUUCACUUGUAUAAUAGAGAAUUUAUUAUUUUAUUAUUAAUAAUUUCGUUAAAAUUAUUAUUUAAAAUUUAUAUUUAUUAAAUAUUAUUAACUUUUGUUUUAUAGUUACAAUUUUUUUUUUUUACAGCAACUGUACCUUAAAAGUUAUAACACUUCAAUUCCAAACGUACCUUAAGUCUGUAAGGCAUAAGUUUUCACUCUUCGGGAAUCUAAGGAGAUUAGGGCAAGAGCUGCACAUUUGUAGUCUCAAAUUCAUUUGACAUCAGCCAAUUUAAUGUCUAUGGACGGGUAUAAAGGACGUCACAGACGGUUAAAGAACAAGGUGUUUGAUGGAAAUGUCAAGAAGUUCGAUGAAAUGUCUCACCUACACAACCAAGCCACUUAACAUUGCAGUCUUAUAAUACAAUUCCUACCUUCUCUUCCAUUUUCACCAACAUAAUUCUUUCUUUCUCACUUUAUUUUCUUCCUUGAAAUUUUUGUUAACAAAAAUGGGUAACAUCAUUCUCAUGCGUGCUUCUUAUCACCAGACUCAAUUCUUGCAGUUUUAUUUUAUUUUAUUUUUCCUUCGUGGAGAUGCUAAAAUAUAUAUGAGAUCUAAAAAGCUAAUCUUGAUGAGUUGCAGAAUCCAAUGCAGAAUUUGAAAGUUACAAAAGAUUAUAAAUACUAUUUUAACUUGUAAGCUUCCAUUGCUAUACAGUGAGGUAUGUCUAGAUAUCAUUUUGGUCUUUUAUAUAUUGGGUUCCAGUGAAAGACUUUUGUUCUAGUUGAAUUUAAUUUUGUCUUUGUAUUUACAGACAAAAUAUUAGGGACAUUUAUCAUACAUAUUUGGCUAGUUCGCCGUGGAAAAAUAAUAAUAGUUGAAAAGACAUAGGGUACUUUUUAUUUUCCUUUAUAUUACUAAUAGAUUUCCCACGCGCAACAGACGAAGUCAUUGCUGCUUCAAUAAUUGCCCUAUCACUGUGUUCAUCAUCACAAAUUUCUUUAUUACGUUUGUGAAAUAACCAUUGCAUAAAAAAAUUACUCCAACUUUUUAACUAAUAAUAGAUAUCUCAAAUUUUAUUUUCAGAAUAUGGUAUGUAAUGUAAGCGAUCGAUAGUUCUUUAUAAAAUAUAUAAAUAAAUUAAUAGUGUUAUCUUAGUGUCUAAUAUAUAUAAAUGACUUUCUCCAUAUAUUGCACUAUUGAUAUGGGCUAAAGUUUUAUACUAUGAGACCCAAUUUCUAUAAUUUACACUAUAAGUUAAAAGUAUUUAGAAAAAUACUAUUGCAAAUCAAAAGGUAUUAUCUAUUUUAUACCUAAAGCAUUUUCACUAUUUAAGACUAGUAAAAUUUCUAUAUUAUUAUAAUAUUAGAAUCAAACACCAAUAAGCGAGUAAAUCAGGUGGAAUAAGAAUGUUCUAACUUAACCAAGGUCCUCGGUUUGAAACUUAGAAAUGCAACUACAUUAAAUACUUAUUGGGAGAGAUUUGCCGCUUUAGUGGUUCUAUCCGGCUCGAAUCUAGAUUAGUCGGGGAUCUAAUGUGGUCUUUGGAUACUAGAUGAUUUAAUAUACCGAUAAUAUUGGAACCAAACUCAUUUACAAUUAUGAAGAGGUUAUAAUUUAAUAGAGGCAUAGUAACAAACUAUUAAUAGAGAGUAUAAAAUUUAAUGUAUAAACAAAAUUCUAUAAUUUACACUAUAAGUUGCAAGUAUUUAGGUCAAUACUAUUGCAAAUCAGAAGAUAUUAUAUAUUUUAUGCCGAAAAUAUUUCCACUAUUUAAGGCUAGUAAAACUUCUAUAUAAUUAUAAUAUUGGAACCAAACACCAACAAGCGAGUAAAUCAACUAGAAUGGAAAUGUUCUAACGUCAAGGUCCUCGGUUCAAAACUUAGAAAUGCAACUACAUUAAAUAUUUAUUGGGAGAGAUUUGCCGCUCUAGUAGUUCUAUCCGGGUCGAAUCUGGAUUAGUCGGGAAUCUAAUGUGGUCUUUGGAUACUAGAUGAUUUAAUGUACCAAUAAUAUUGGAACCAAACUAAUUUACAAUUAUGAGGAGGUUAUAAUUUAAUAGAGGCGUAGUAACAAACUAUUAAUAGAGCGUAUCAAAUUUAAUAUUGGAAUCCGAUGAUUGGUUGCAACAUAAGAUAUUUGUAAGCUUAGUUAAAGGUUCAUUAAAAAUUAUAGAGAUAUAUAAUUUCGCAGUCGACGAAGCCAUGCAUGAGGUUAAGGCAAGUGAUGGAAUGACUUGCGUUACAAAAGAGGUAUGUGAAGUUGCACUAUAAAAAUAAAAUAAAUUUGUAUUUUCAAGUAGUGAAGGUGUAGUUAGUUUAUUUGCGGUAGCAGUUUCACAGCUGACAGAUGAACAAAGAGUGGCUGCUUGUCAAAUGGGCUUUGGUAGUUUGCUACAAUUGAACCGUGGCAAGCUAAAAAGGAAACUUUGUGGCUAGUUAAUUGAGAUGAUUGAUACUUUGAGGUACAUUUUAGAGUUGAAUGGUAUUAGCUUUCAAACAAGAUCAUCAAAGAAACUCUACCAACUAGGAAAUUUAAACUUAAUCUAUGCUCCGCAAAUUCGAAUAUUCUCUAAUAUGAAACUACUUUUAUGUGUUUUAUUAUUCCUAGCUUUUACCGACUUGGUAACGUUGUUAUGGAAGCACGACAACUAUUAUGUCCGUGUAAUUUUUAUUGUAUCUUUUGUUAUGUCAUGAUAUCGAAGCUUAGUUUUAUGACUCUAACUACUAAGAACUGCAAUUGCAGCAUCUUUUGAAUAUUACAUAUGUGCUUGUAGUAUCUCGACGGAUUAAAACCUGCUAUUUAAGUUCUUCUACCCCUCCCCCCCUUCAUUCUUUCAUUUAUACUUGCUGCACUAUUUACUUCGCACUCUGUAAAGCCAGAUGAAAGCUUGUUCAUUUAUGUUCACUUGCAAUUCAAAAGCACAGUUUAUUUCAACUGUCAAAUUGACAACUUGCACGUAUAGAUUUCAGUCGAAACAAGGUUAUUGGUCGAUCAAGAAAUUGAAUCCAUAUGGCCGUUCCAGCGUUAUUCAACUACCUAAUAUCAAAUAUAUAAAUUAAUUCAACCCACUUCUGUGUCAAAGGCAUGGAACAAAUUAUGAAAGAUUUUUCAGCUAUCAUAAAUUCGAACGAGUGUAGUUUGUAUCCUUUCGAACUUAGACAGAUUUUCCUUCCAUUAACCUUACAGUGUUAGUAAUCCUAUUACUUGUUUUUAAAGCUUGAAUAGUAUACCGAAAUUUUUGGUUUUUGCAACAUAAACUUGUAUGUAAUGUACAUUUUAUAGUUCUUUACAAAUUAAUUGCUGCUAAAAUAAUUGUUUCGACUACUAUAUUUAUUGUUAUAAUAGAUAAACAUUUUCUUGCAACUCAAACAGUUCCAAUGGCAUGAUCUGCAUCCCCCGUUUGCCUCUUGGGCUACGAACCUGCUUAACAGCUGCACCAUCUUGCUCCUUUUCAUCAAACGGCAACUUCGCUGCAGACAAAAAGAGGGGGUACACUGCCCAGGGGCACCAUAAACGCAGCCCAAAAAGAUGAUUUUGUCUUUCCAUGUCUUAGUAUUUUAACCAAAAAUAAUAAUAAUAAUUCUUUACAUCAUCAAUGAUUGCACUUGUAAGCCAGGCAAUAGUUUUUUUAUUAAAUAAAAAAUUAAUGUUAAAUUUUUUUUUUUUUUUUUUUUUUUUUAUCUAGCUAUCAUUGACUUAAUAUUUUGAAUCUUCAUCCAAAGUUAAGGCACAAAACUUUUAUUCUAAAUAAAUAUUCUCAAUAUAAAUUUAUCACUUAAAUAAUAAAUAAUAAGAUUUAACAUUAAUUCUGUCGUUACUGAAAUGAAUUGUAAAUUUUAUAUGACGUGUAAACGUAUCAUUAUGUUCUUGAUAUUUGACAUAUGAAUUAUAAAGCAACAAAUGUAUCAUAUUUUAUUUCGGUAUUGUGCUUCUCCAUAUUUGCUUAAUUCUUUUCGUUGUACUCAUUGCUUCUCUUCCUCUUUUCGUCAACGACAAUGGGUAACCUAAUCUCAACCUUCUUACCAGCAGACUUAUUUGAUCGAAUUUCAAACUGCGUUGGUGAACAAGCAAAAUAUGUAUGGGGUCUCGAAAAAAAUCUUCGGAUCUUGGAGACUGAAUUGCACAAAUUGACUCGAGCAAGGGCCGAUCUGAAGACCAGGGUUGAGGUCGAACAACAACGACCUCGAACCAGACGAACGAACCAGGUCGCAGGGUGGCUUGAAGAUGUGCAAAAUCUGGAAACUGAAUUUGCCGAGCUGGAACGAGUCAGAGCUCAAGAAAUGGAUAGAUUGUGCCUUGGAGGCCUCUGUUCCAAAAACUUCGUUUUAAGCUACAAUUACGGGACUAAGGUGGUCGAGUUGACGGAUCGAGUGAUCAAUUUAAAGAAAGACGGAGAAAAAAUUGAAGUCGUUGUUGAGAAGGCGCCGGAUGGUGCAGCAAUUGAAUUACCUCUUGAUCACACAGUUGUUGGUCAAGAACUAUUACUUGGUCAAGUUUGGAGAUGUAUCACUGAUCAGGAAAAGAACAGGGGAAUUAUCGGCUUGUAUGGUAUAGGGGGAGUCGGCAAAACUACCCUUUUAAAACAAGUCAACAACAACUUCUGCCAUCAACAGCAUAAUUUUGAUGUUGUUAUCUGGGCGGCUGUGUCAACACUUCAAGAUGACAUUGGAAAAAGGAUUGGCUUUUCAGAAGACAGAAACUGGAAGGAAAAAAGUCUUCAAGACAAGGCUGUGGACAUCGCUAGCAUUCUAAGCGGAAAGAAGUUUGUGUUGUUAUUAGAUGAUAUAUGGGAGCCCAUUGAUUUAACACAGCUGGGUGUCCCUCUUCAAAAUCUAAAUGAUGGGUCCAAAAUAGUCUUGACAACUCGUUCAGCUGGGGUUUGCGAUCAAAUGGACGCUGAAAAGGUGGAAGUGUCUAGUUUGGCACAUGAUGAAGCCUGGAAAUUAUUUCAGGAGAUGAUCGAAAGAUCCACUCUUGACAGUCAUACCAGUAUUCCAGGGCUAGCCGAAACCCUGGCAAGAGAGUGUGGUGGGUUGCCGCUAGCGCUUAAAACAGUGGGUCGAGCCAUGAAAAGCCAAAGGAAAGUUGGAGAUUGGAAACGUGCAAUUCACAAAAUGACAACAUCAGCUUCUAAAUUCUCAGGUAUGAAAGAAGAGGUGUUUUCGCGUUUAAAGUUCAGCUAUGAUAGUUUGUCUACGGAUGAACUUCGUUCCUGUCUCCUGUAUUGCUGUUUGUAUCCUGAAGACUACGAAAUUCCUAAAAGGCAAUUGAUUGAUUAUUGGAUUAGUGAAGGAUUUGCGUGUGAUUUUGAUGAUGGAUGCGAUUUUAUUGAUGACCUUCUUCAUGCAUGCUUAUUGGAGGAAGAAGGCGAUGAUCAUGUAAAGACGCACGAUAUGAUUCGUGAGAUGUCAUUAUGGAUAGCGUGCACGGUAGACAAGGAGGAGCAGAACUUUCUGGUUCGCGCUGGAGUUGAAUUGACCGAAGCACCAAAGGUUGAAGAAUGGGAAGGUGCCAAACGGGUAUCUCUGAUGGAAAAUAAAAUUGAAAGCCUAUCGGAAAUUCCCACGUGUCCGCGUCUCGUAACUUUACUGCUGGAUGAAAAUCGGAUUGAGGAGAUCACUGAUGGCUUCUUUCAAUCUAUGUCGUCUCUUAGAGUAUUAAGUCUAAGAGGAAAUUUUCCCCUAAGUACACUACCUUCGGGGAUUUCAGGUUUGGUUUCAUUGCAUCAUCUUGAUCUAUCAUCGACUCACAUAACUGGGUUGCCGCAAGAGCUGAAGGCGUUGGAGAAGUUGAGAUAUUUGAACUUGGACUAUACAGAGUACUUGUCCAUAAUUCCACAUCAAUUGAUAUCUGGCUUUUCAAAGUUGGAGGAACUCAGGUUGUUUGCGUCCGGUCGCUGGGGCGUAAUAGAGGAAGAAGAAGGUAACGUUCUAUGUGAUGAUGCUGAACCUUUGAUGAAGGAAUUGCUGGGUUUGAAGCAUUUAAAUGUUUUAAGCUGGUCCUUCCGAAGUUCACUUGCUGUCCAAAAGUUUUUGAAAUAUCCAAAGCUGGUUAGCAUCACUCAAUCUGUAUGGGUUGAAUGUGGCAUGUAUACAAGGCCACCGUUCAAUGUCUUACAUCUAGCAUAUAUGGAGAAUCUUCAGGAGUUGCGUCUUUCUCAGAGUGAUUUGGAGGAGAUGAAGAUUGACAGCACAGAAGAGGUGAAGAAGCUUUUUCAAAGUGGUUUCCGCAGUCUCGACACAGUUGAUCUAUUUUAUUGCCAAAAAGCGAAGGACUUAACGUGGCUUGUUUUUGUUCAAAACCUCAAGGAGCUGCGUAUAGUGUAUUGUGAAUACGUGGAAGAAAUUAUCGGGGCUGAUAAAUUGAGAGAUAUUUCAGAGAUAGUGGGGUCAGAGCAUAACGUUUUCGCAGAACUCGAAUUUCUAUCCUUAUGGGGGGGAAUAAAUUUAAAGAGCGUUUACCCGAAUCCCCUGCCCUUUCCAAAGUUGAAGAAAAUUCAAGUACUUCAUUGCCGACAGCUGAAGAAGCUCCCACUCAAUUCCAGCAGCGCGAAGUUACGUCGAGCUGUCAUCGAGGGAACGAAAAAGUGGUGGGAAGAGCUACAAUGGGAGGAUCAAGCCACCCAAAAUGCUUUCUCUUCCGGUGCCGUACUUACUGAGUUUCCUUUUUAUUAAUAUGUUUUAAUAUGUAUUUCUUUUUCUUUUCUUUUUUUAAUUUUCAUUAGAUUUAAUUGCAUCUUGUUCUUGUUGUCUGGUGUGUCAAUCGUUCCCUACUUUCAGUUAAUAAAAUUUCAGCAGUGGAUUCUUGGUUUAUUAAUGUUUAUAUAACUGAAUUGUUCAGCAGAUGUACUCUGCACGACUAACACAGAAAUAAACACAGAAAUAAAUAUAUGUAAGGGGUUACAGGACUGACUCUGCUUCUGGCUUCUAAGGAGAAAGAGGGGAAAAUAAACAUUUUAUCUUCCCUUAACUGCUCUCCUUUGGUUUGAAUGUGAACUUAACACUCUUUUAUUAUUAAAAUUUAAUUAUUUGGUUGUAUAAUAUAUUUCUCCAAUAAACGAAGAAUGAUAAAGGAGCAACUAAAAAAACCCAUCAAAAUAUUUCACCAAUGAAAAGAUUCAUGAGAAAUAAACAUUAUAAUCCGAACAAAUAAAUCAAUUAGUCAAUAUAUCAUUUAGCCGAAUUAAAGACGCUGCUUGCGCUUCGUAGUUCUGAGCUUAGAAUCAAGUAGAGAACUGAAUAUGAAAUUUUUAAUUGCUGAGAAUAUGAAUUUGAGGUUGAUGGACGACUUGAAAGAGAGGGACAAGAAAGAAUGAUACAGAGCAGGUGGCUGGCAAAAGGGACCUUAUGACGAUCUUCUUCAGUACAGCUAUGAUGCCGCUUCCACCUUCAAUUGAAUGUCAGAAAAUUCAAAGUUUGUCAAAAGAGGAUGGUAAAUUAAGCUGUUUUUUUUUUUUCUUUUUUGCAAAAUUUACCAAGUGAAUUAAUCCAUUAUUUUAUCUAUCAAUCAGUACACAAUCUACAUUACCCCACGCUAACAAAACACUGACUAUAAAUCUAUGACUAUACAAUGCGCACUUUGGUUACUGCCCCAGCCCUCUUACCCAAAAGAACCACAAAAGCAACGAAAAACUAAAUUGAUUACAUAAUCAAAUCAAGUUCUUCUUAGCUACUGUGAUCGAUUUGUCCAGCACCAUCAGUUAAUUUCUCUAGUUUUCAGCAAAAAUGGUCGAGUUCUUGAGUCUUCUUUGCACGUUUCAUCUCAUUUAUUCUGUCGAUAAAGCUUAUACACAUCAUCCGCAACGACAACAAAUUAAAUUAAUAUGUGUCGAGUUUUGGAGCCAGAGCCAGCGGUGCAAGCGCAAGAGAAAGGGACUUCACACAAGAAUUUGCCAGACCAUGGGCUACAGAAAGGUGCCUCACUUCACGGACGCGGAAUUUGGUUGGCUCCUGGGCCAUUAAGGGUGAAUGCAUCUUUCUUUUUAUGUGAAUUUAAUUAUUGAACCCGGUAUCUUGAAUAAAUAUAAAUUUGACUGUAGCACCAAGUAUCAAUGAUUGCAAAAUGUAAAUUUGACAUAUUGUGUGGUUAAAUCAUCUUGUACUAAUCGUUUAUGUUAAUUUAUGGAGGCCUUAAUGUCCAAGGCAUACGUAAAGGGGUACAGGACUGACUCUGCUUCUGGCUUCUAAGGAGAAUGAGGGGAAAAUUUUAUAAACAUUUGUGGAGUGGCCGUAUAAAGGACGUGUGGUUCUCAAUCCAUUUCACAUUUGGCAUUGUAAUGUUUAUGGACUCAUAUAAAUGAUGUCACACAAAUAGUUAAACGAAGAAGGUGUUUGAUGAAAACGAAAGGGCCUUUUUCUUUUUUUAAAUCCCGCUAAAGGUUAUAAUUAACAACAAAUUAAUAAUAGAAGAGAGAGAAAUACCAAGUUCAAUACGGUAAUAUUUUAUCUUCCUUUUAACUGCUCUCCUUUGGCUUAUAAUGCGACCUUUACACUCGUGGACAAAAUUGUAUUUGUCGCUUAAGUCUUGCUUGUUUUAAAAUGCUGGCAUAUUUAUGGAGUGGGAACCCAGAUGCUGAACUCAUAGUAAAUAUUUAUUUAAUUUGUUAGAAUUAUUUUUGGUGGGAUAAUUUUAAAUAUUAAUUUAACAAGAUAGUGAUGUUUGCCUUGCCCUACAUGGAAAAAAUAAUAAUAAUUAAAGUUUUUUCUGUUCCUUUAUAUUAGUAAUAGAUUUCAGAUGGGAAACAGAAAAUUUAUUUCUGUUUCAAUAAUUACCAUAUCACUGUGUGCGUGCGUGAUCACAUAAUUUUGUACUACCGUCUGUGGAAUAACUUUAGGAAAAGAAAAUUAAUUUUUUUUAAGUAACAAUAAAUAUUUUAAAUUGUUUUCUUCUCUUAUCAAUUGUUUUUUUCUCCUAUCUUCCAAUGAAAGUGCAGGACCUCAAUUAUUUUAAUAGAGAUGUAGUAAUAAAUUAUUAGGGGAUCCAUAAAAUAAAUAUACAUGGUUUCAAAAAAGUUAGCACAUGCUUGUUACAAAUAUAAAAAAUUAUCUUAAAAGUCUCGGAACUUUUGUGUUCUCUUUAAUAUUUUUUUCUUAUGUUGUUAUUGUACUAUAUGGAUACAAGGGUGCGUUUGGUACGUUGUAUUAUAUUAUGUUGUAUUGCAUUAUUUUAAUAUAGGUAUAUUACAUUAUGUUGUGUUGUAUUAGUAAUGUAUUAUAAUAAUGUUGUACAAUGUUUGGUACUAUACUGUAUUGUAUUAAUUUUUAAUUAAUAUUAUUCAAAUGUAUUCAUAUUUAAAUAUUUAUUAUUAGUUAUAUUAAAUUAUUUAAAAAUAACUAGUUUAAUUAUUUUAAUAUAAUUAAAUAAUAUUAUAAUAUAUUAUAUUAUUUAAGUAUUUAUUAUUAGUUAUAUUAACUUAUUAAAAAUUAAUCAAUUAUAUAUAUUAAUUAAUAUAAUUUUACAUAUUAAUUAAUAUAAUAUAAUUAAAUAAUACAUUUUUUAGUUGUACAUUUACUAUAAUAAAAAUUAAAAUAUAAUAUAAUAUUAAAUUAAAAAUUAUAUUCAUUUAUUAUUAUUACAAAGUAUAAAAAAAAAAAAAAAAGGAAGCUAAAGCUAAUGCGGUAACUGGACACAUUAGCUAAACCCGACUAUAACAUAUGUCGGGUUUAGCUAAUACAACCAUUUGGUACCUCAGACAUGGUGCUGCAUUGCUAAUGCAAUGUAAUCCCAGGUAAAGAGGGGUACCAGACAACCCCCAAGUUCACUUAAUGUAACAUAACAUACUUUUUUUUUCUAUAUAUAUAUAUACACUACGUGGAAGUGAGCUCCUUAAGGUGAGAUUUAGCAAAAUUAUAAAUUAUUACAGCAUGAAAUUUAUUUUUAUUUAUAAUUGGCCUAAUAUAAAUUAGGACCAGUACUUUUAUAGCUAUAUGAAAUUAUUUUUAUAUAAAAUAUCACUACAUAAAUGUUUUAUUACAAUAUUAAUCUCUUUUUUUUAUUGUAUUUAUCUCUUCAUAAUCUUUUCCUUUUUAUAAAAAAAAAAAAUCAACUAAAAGAUUCAUCAACAUCUCAUUCCAACAAUCUACUAGCGAAAAUGAGUGUCCAUGCUUUUGAACCAAGGCCCGAUAUGUGAGGGAGAGAUUGUUGGGUUGUCUUACAUCGGUUGUGAACUAGGAUGGUGGUGAUUUUACAAGUGUGAGGGAAAGUCUCACCCCUUAUCCAUCUUUUGGGUUGGGAUUGAAUGAGACCCAAAACCGCUUAACAUGAAUUCUAUCACUGGGAUUUUUACCCAGUAUAACAAACAUAACAACACAAUGAAUUAUCAAUUUAUCACGUAAUGGCUCUAACUUUAGCGAUGAUCACCUUACAUGAACAUGAAAAUUAAUCCCAUUGUUUAACUCAACAAUGACGAUAAUCACUUAAACUCUUAUGCACCAAAGGAUAUACUCGCUACAGGGAAUCUUAACUCAUAAAGAUUAAUUUUAGUGGGGGGCAAAAGAGCACGAGUGAUCCAAACCACUAAACAACAUCAUAACCAACACAAAAUUUAUACUAAACAAACCAUUACCAAAACAGCAAAGCUAGACAUAAAUUUGAACAGAUACACAAGCUACAUUCAUUACCAUAAUGUAUCGACUAAAUUUCCAAGCUCUACAUUUUGAACAAAGAAUUUAUAAAAUUACAUAAUCUAAUAAAUUAAUAUAGAAAUAAAAUUGGCAUCAGAUCAAAUUACUAUUAAUGUACCUUGCAUAAACCAUUCUCUUCUAUCGGCAUUCACCUCCGCGCUCGAUUGGCUCUCCUGUGCUGCUUGUCUAAUUGAUUCAAAUCCACAUAGACAAAUUUAAGCAUAUUAAGUUUUCAAACUCAAAUCAACAGCUUUAAAAGUUACUUCACAAACAAUGAAUUUCAUUUUCGAAAUACAAAGAAUCCGUUCAGUUUAAAACAAUAAAAAAUCGUCUACGACUACUCAACUCAUGUAUGAUAACUAAAAAACGAAGGAUACCCACAAAAAUUAAAGAUAAAUUACCAAAAACCCAAAAAACUCAAGCCAAAAUUGCCAAAAAAAAAGCGAGAGAAUGGAAAUUGGCGUACCAGGGGCAGGAGAGAGGAAACGAGAAGAGGAAGAAAGAAGGGUUUUGGAGAGAGUGGGAAUUAGUGGAGGCAAAAAUGGAGAGUUUUGAGAGUGAGAUGAUUGGUGGGGUGGUGAUGGCGGUGGUGGGGUUAAUGUUCUGGAGGGUAUGCUGAAGAGAGGUCGCAAGAGAACCUCCAUAGCCUUUAAAGAGAGUUGAGUUGCUGCUUUCUUUUGCCGUGGAUGGAGAGAGAUUAAGGGAUUAGAAUUCUGUAUUGAAUUAAUUUUUUAUUAAAUAAAAAAUUAUUGUUAAAAUUUAUUUUAUUUUAAUUUUUUAUCUAGCUAUCAUUGACUUAAUAUUUUGAAUCUUUAUCCAAAGUUAAGGCACAAAAUUUUUAUUCUAAAUAAAUAUUCUCAAUAUAAAUAUAUCACUUAAAUAAUAAUGAUAAGAUUUAAUAUUAAUUCUGUCAUUACUGAAAGAAUUACAAAUUUUAUAUGACGUGCAAACGUAUCAUUAUAUUCUUGAUAUUUGAAACAUGAAUAAAGCAACAAAUGUAUCAUAUUUUUAUUUUGGUGUUGUGGUUCUCUAAAAAUUGUUGAAAGCAGCAGCUGUGAAGAGUCAACGGUUGACCUUGAUUCUGUGAGUUGGAUUUGUUGAGCUGGCAAAACUGUUAUGUUGAAGAAUAGCAGCGCAUGUGCAUUGAAUAGUUGCAUCUUCUAGAAGCUUAAUGUGAUUGGUUCACAAUUGCUAUAUUCACGGAUCAAUUUUGAUUACUUCCGUGUAAUACCCCUUAGGCUAGCUGUCAUUAUUUUUUGUCUCUGUAUGUAAACUAGCAAAGCUCUGUAUUUCAUUUUCAUUCAAGUCAUCAUUAUCAAUAAAGACCUGAUUCUCAUACUCUGUUUGCAUUUGACAGCAAUUCUUAAGAAUUUAAGUAAAAAUUAGCUUAAUUCUUUUCAUUGUACUCGUUGCUUCUCUUCCUCUUUUCGCCAACGACAAUGGGUAACCUAAUCUCAACCUUCUUACCAGCAGACUUAUUUGAUCGAACUUCAAACUGCGUUGGUGAACAAGCAAAUUAUGUAUGGGGUCUCGAAAAAAACCUUCGGGUCUUGGAGACUGAAUUGCACAAAUUGACUCGAGCAAGGGACGAUCUGAAGACCAAGGUUGAGGUCGAAGAACAGCGACGUCGAACCAGACGAACGAACCAGGUCGCAGGGUGGCUUGAAGAUGUGCAAAAACUGGAAACUGAAUUUACCGAGCUGGAACGAGUUAGAGCUCAUGAAAUCGAUAGAUUGUGCCUUGGAGGCCUCUGUUCCAAAAACUUCGUUUCAAGCUACAAUUACGGGACUCAGGUGGUCGAGUUGACGGAUCGAGUGAUCAAUUUAAAGAAAGACGGAGAAAAAAUUGAAGUCGUUGUUGAGAAGGCGCCAGAUGGUGCAGCAAUUGAAUUACCUCUUGAUCACACAGUUGUUGGUCAAGAACUAUUACUUGAUCAAGUUUGGAGAUGUAUCACUGAUCAGGAAAAUAAUAGGGAAAUUAUCGGCCUGUAUGGUAUCGGGGGAGCCGGCAAAACUACCCUUUUAAAACAAGUCAACAACAACUUCUGCCAUCAACAGCAUAAUUUUGAUGUUGUUAUCUGGGCGGCUGCGUCAACACUUCAAGAUGACAUUGGAAAAAGGAUUGGCUUUUCAGAAGACCAAAGCUGGGAGAAAAAAAGUCCUCAAGACAAGGCUGUGGACAUCGCUAGCAUUUUAAGCAGAAGGAAGUUUGUGUUGUUAUUGGAUGAUAUAUGGAAACCCAUUCAUUUAACAGAAUUGGGUGUCCCUCUUCAAAAACUAAAUGAUGGGUCCAAAGUAGUCUUGACAACUCGUUCAGCUGGUGUUUGCGAUCAAAUGGACGCUGAAAAGGUGGAAGUGUAUAGUUUGGCGCAUGAUAAAGCCUGGGAAUUAUUUCAGGAGAUGGUCGACAGAUCCACUCUUGACAGUCAUACCGGUAUUCCAGAGCUAGCCGAAACCUUGGCAAGAGAGUGUGGUGGGUUGCCGCUAGCGCUUAAAACAGUGGGUCGAGCCAUGAAAAGCCAAAGGAAAGUUGGAGAUUGGAAACGUGCAAUUCACAAAAUGAGAACAUCAGCUUCUAAAUUCUCAGGUAUGAAAGAAGAGGUGUUUUCGCGUUUAAAGUUCAGCUAUGAUAGUUUGUCUACGGAUGAACUUCGUUCCUGUCUCCUGUAUUGUUGUUUAUAUCCUGAAGACUACGAAAUUCCUAAAAGGGAAUUGAUUGAUUAUUGGAUUAGUGAAGGAUUUGUAUAUGAUUUUGAUGAUGGAUGUGAUUUUAUUGAUGACCUUCUUCAAGCAUGCUUAUUGGAGGAAGAAGGCGAUGAUCAUGUAAAGAUGCACGAUAUGAUUCGUGAGAUGUCAUUAUGGAUAGCGUGCACGGUAGACAAGGAGGAGGAGAACUUUCUGGUUCGCGCUGGAGUUGAAUUGACCGAAGCACCAAAGUUUGAAGAAUGGGAAGGUGCCAAACGGGUAUCUCUGAUGGGAAAUGGAAUUAGGAGCUUAUCGGAAAUUCCCACGUGUCCGCGCCUCUUAACUUUACUUCUGGGUGGAAAUCGGAUUGAGGAGAUUACUGAUGGCUUCUUUCAAUCGAUGUCUUCUCUUAGAGUAUUAAGUCUAAGAGGAAAUUUUCCCCUAAGAACACUACCUUCAGGGAUUUCAGGUUUGGUUUCAUUACAUCAUCUUGAUCUAUCAUCGACUAACAUAACUGGGUUGCCGCAAGAGCUGAAGGCGUUGGAGAAGUUGAGAUAUUUGAACUUGGACUAUACACGGUUUUUGUCUAUAAUUCCACAUCAAUUGAUAUCUGGUUUUUCAAAGUUGGAGGUACUCAGGUUGCUUUCACGCGGUCGCUGGAGCGUAAUAGAAGGUAACGUUCUAUGUGAUGAUGCUGAACCUUUGAUGAAGGAAUUGCUGGGUUUGAAGCAUUUAAAUGUUUUAAGCUGGACCUUCCGAAGUUCACUUGCUGUCCAAAAGUUUUUGAAAUAUCCAAAGCUGGUGAGCAUCACUCAAUCUGUAAUGGUUUGCCAAUGUGAAAGUCCACCGUUCAAUGUCUUACAUCUAGCAUACAUGGAGAAUCUUCAGGAGUUA
rnacentral:lncRNA from 1 species